UAGAAGUGGGGUGGGAGCGGAGGAGGGGUAAGUCAUUUUCGCCAUAAACGGUCACCUACAUUAAUUAUUUGGUUCGUCGUAAAAAAAUUACAAUCGAAACUCGAGUUAAUCAAACAAACAGCAGAACUAAUAAAAAUUCAUUUGCAUAAUUACGAAACAAAAAAAAAAAAAAAUUCACCGAACUUCACUUUAACCUAAUUAAGUCAAAUUUCAAUGAAACAAACAUCCCCUAUUGUUUAGUACCGUUAUUUUUAUUUACUAAAUUGCAUAAUUUUUUUCAAAGAUACUGUUAUAUUAUUAUACUUUACUAAUUUUUAUUUUAUAUUAAUUUUUUUUUAUUUUAUCAUCUUGUACUAUUUUAUUUUUAUAUGUCCACCCUUAUUUUUUC
rnacentral:lncRNA from 1 species